rnacentral:lncRNA from 10 species
AGUGCUGUGGAGAAACUCUUAAGAAGGAAAGGGCGAUACACAGUGUGGGAGUGCAAUUUUAAAUAAAAUAGGGAAGUUCUCACCGAGAAGACAGUCUUUGAGAAGAGCAGGUAAAGGAGUGAACUGUAUGUGGGAGUAUGUGUGUAUGUACAUGGGGGAAGAGAAGCCAGCCGUUCUUAACCUGGAGACCAUAGACUCUCCUCUCCAUGGGUCUGUGGAUAGAAUUCAGAGGAUCUUGACCUUAGGUCUCUUGGCUGUUACAUGGAGAACAGAUUUAAGAGGCAAAGCUGAAGCAGGAAGGCCAGUUGGGAGACCACCUGAAUAAACCAGGUGAGAGAUGAUUGGACCAGAGCGGUAGCAAUGGAAGUGGUGGAAAGCGGUCAUCUACAUUUUGAAGGUAGCUCUGACAGAAUUUGCUGAUGGAGUGAGAGAAAAAGAAAGAAGUCAAGGACAACGAUAAGUGUUUUACCUUGAACCAAUGGAAAGAUGGAGUUGUCCUUAACUGAGAUGGAGGAAACUGGAAGGAGUAGGUUUUAGGGGAUUAGGAGCUCAGUGUUGGACAUAUGAAGCUUGAGAUGCCUAUUUGACAUCCAAGUGCAGCCAUUGACAGGCAGCUAGACAUGAUAGCCUCAGCUCAGGGGCAAGGUCUGGGCUGAAGAUGUCAUUGGAGAGUGGUCAGUGAGCAGAUGGAUGGUAUUUAAAUUUGAGAUCAUCAACUAAGUGAACAUAGAAAGAGAAGGGGCUCAAGGAUGGUACCCUUCAGCACUGCAAGGUAAAGAUGUCUGAAAGAUGAAGAGGAAUCAGCAAAAGUGUUGUUAGUGUUGUUUAAAGAAAAAAAAAAGCAUUCAAAGAGAUAGGAAUAUCCUGGAAGCCAAAGGAAGUGAG